AGAAGAGUUACUACUCCACUCUGCUUUCUUCCCUUUGUAUGCCUACCCAGCCUCCUUAAAGUCUUGUAGGUACUUACAGGUGGUUCCUGCCUCAUCUGUCCUGGGAGCUGGGAAUCAGUGUCCAUGCAAAAAUGACCAUGAUGCUGCCAUCACCUCUCACCUGGACACCGGACGGCCUCCCUGCACUUCCGCUACCUGGGCCCCCAGUGGAUCCUCUAAUCUAUUCUCAAAGCGUAGCCGGAAUGAUCUUUGCUAAAUGCAAACUUCCCUGUUCAGAGUGAGCUGCCAUUGCAAGGCCCCACCCUCUGUCCUCUCCAGCCUCACUUUGUCCCGCCCCCUCACAUCUCCUGGCAGCCACUAACUUACAUUCUGUCUCUACAGAUUUGCCCAUUCUGGACAUUUCAUCUAACUGGACUCACACAGUCUUUGUCCUUUUGUGUCUGGCUUCUUUCUCUCCCAUGGCGUCAUGCUUUCAAGAUGCAUCCAUGGGGUAGUAUGCCAUCACUUCAUACUUGUUCUUGGUGGCAUAAUAUUCCACUGCACAGAUAUCCACACUUAAUUUUCCAUUCAUCAGUUGAUGGACAUUUGGGUUGUUUCUACCCCUUGGCUCUUAUGAACGGUGCUACUA
ensembl:lncRNA